rnacentral:rRNA from 1 species
GAUGAACGCUGGCGGCGUGCCUAAUACAUGCAAGUCGAGCGAACGGACGAGAAGCUUGCUUCUCUGAUGUUAGCGGCGGACGGGUGAGUAACACGUGGAUAACCUACCUAUAAGACUGGGAUAACUUCGGGAAACCGUAGCUAAUACCGGAUAAUAUUUUGAACCGCAUGGUUCAAAAGUGAAAGACGGUCUUGCUGUCACUUAUAGAUGGAUCCGCGCUGCAUUAGCUAGUUGGUAAGGUAACGGCUUACCAAGGCAACGAUGCAUAGCCGACCUGAGAGGGUGAUCGGCGACACUGGAACUGAGACACGGUCCAGACUCCUACGGGAGGCAGCAGUAGGGAAUCUUCCGCAAUGGGCGAAAGCCUGACGGAGCAACGCCGCGUGAGUGAUGAAGGUCUUUGGAUCGUAAAACUCUGUUAUUAGGGAAGAACAUAUGUGUAAGUAACUGUGCACAUCUUGACGGUACCUAAUCAGAAAGCCACGGCUAACUACGUG